rnacentral:rRNA from 1 species
AGUGAACGCUGGCGGUAUGCCUAACACAUGCAAGUCGAACGGCCGCACAGUAAGCUCUUUCUCUUACUGUUGGCGAGUGGCGGACGGGUGAGGAAUACAUCGGAAUCUACUUUUUCUUGGGUGAUAACGUAGGGAAACUUACGCUAAUACCGCAUACUACCUACGGGUUAAAGCAGGAGAUCUUCAGACCUUUCGCGAUUGAUUGAGCCGAUGUCGGAUUAGCUAGUUGGCGGGGUAAAGUCCCACCAAGGCGACGAUCCGUAGCUGGUCUGAGAGGAUGAUCAGCCACACUGGAACUGAGACACGGUCCAGACUCCUACGGGAGGCAGCAGUGGGGAAUAUUGGACAAUGGGCGAAAGCCUGAUCCAGCAAUACCGCGUGGGUGAAGAAGGCCUUCGGGUUGUAAAGCCCUUUUGUUGGGAAAGAAAAGAAGCAGGUUAAUACCCCGCUGUUCUGACGGUACCCAAAGAAUAAGCACCGGCUAACUUCGU